GUGACACAAAGUUUUGAUCGGCUACACUAUUCAACUUCAUUGUGAAUGUCUUAGAGGUAAUUCAUCUCCAAAAUACUAUAGAAAAAAAAAUUUUAGUGGUUCUUCAAUUAUCUCCACAUCAUUCCAAGUCCAACGAAGCCUUUACACAUCCUUCAGAAUGUUAGUGGAAUCAUAAAGCCCAGAAGAAUGACUCUGUUGUUGGGACUCCAGGCUCAAGGAAGACCACAUUGCUAUUAGCCUUGAUUGACAUUUUGUUGGAAAACUUGGCAAAGAUUUAAAAAAAUCAGGGAGAGCAACAUACAAUGGGCAUGGGGUAGAAGAGUUUGUGGCACAGAGAAGUUCAGCGUAUAUUGGGUAACAUGAUAACCACAUUGGUGAAAUGACUGUUAGAGAAACCACAUUGGCUAUUCUCUUUAAUUUCUUGUAAUCACUUCUUUUUAUUUACUUCUCAGCUCAUGGGCAAGUGAUAGAGAAGAAAUUAAUCUCCAUGGCUCGUGAAAUUUAAAAGCUUUGUGCUGAGAUUGCAAGUGCAGAAAAAAGACAAUGUGCACCUUCCAAUCUAGGUGGUAAUAAUAAACUUAGAGUUGACAAGUGCUUUUCAACUCUUGGAAUGGCACCUCAUCUUGGAAAGGUAUUUUGAAUCUGUCAUCUGAAUGAUUGGUUGGUUUUUCUUCUUUUUCAAAUUUCAGUCCUCCUAAAUUUUGGAAUUUGGAAUGUGAAGUAAGCCUGAAAUUUGAUAUGAUGCAUUGAACAUGAACAUGUAUUGUUGUUUGGAGUAAUGGCUAUAGAGAUUAAAAGAAAGGCUCCUCAUUGUAACAGAAAUUCCUGAAUACUCUUGUUUUAGCUUUAAAAAUUUCUGCAACAGCUAGUGUAAGCAUUAGAACUUGUUAACUGCAUUGUUAGUUUGUCAUUACUUCUGGAUGAUAAUGAUAUGGCUAGAAGUCAAGAUCUAUUUGCAUUAUUUGCAAAUACAUUUAUCUAGUUAUGUUUAUUGUUUAGGAGUUUGGACAUAAGUCUGUAUUUUAUCAUGUUAUUUUUAAUAUUUUGUAGUUAUAAUUAAUGUGAUUGAAAAAUGAUGGUAGUAUA